rnacentral:rRNA from 1 species
AUCUGGUUGAUCCUGCCAGUAGUCAUACGCUCGUUUCAAAGAUUAAGCCAUGCAUGUGUAAGUAUAAAUAAUUUUACUUUGAAACUGCGAAUGGCUCAUUAUAUCAGUUAUAGUUUAUUAGAAAUAUUUUACUACUUGGAUAACCGUAGUAAUUCUAGGGCUAAUACAUGAGUAAAACCUCAACUUCGGAAGAGGUGUGUUUAUUAGUAUGAAAACCAUAUAUCUUCGGAUAUAAUAGUGAGUAAUAAUAACCUUUCAUAUCGUAUGUCGUAAGAUAACGAUAGUUCUUUCAAGUUUCUGCCCUAUCAGCUUUCGAUGGUAGUAUAUGGGACUACCAUGGCAGUAACGGGUAACGAAGAAUUUGGGUUCGAUUUCGGAGAGGGAGCCUGAGAGAUGGCUACCACAUCCAAGGAAGGCAGCAGGCGCGUAAAUUACCCAAUCCUGACAUAGGGAGGUAGUGACAAUAAAUCACAAUGCGGAACUUUUAGUUUUGCAAUUGGAUUGAGAACAAUGUACAAAUGUUAUCGAUAAACAAUUGGAGGGCAAGUCUGGUGCCAGCAGCCGCGGGAAUUCCAGCUCCAAUAACGUAUAUUAACGUUGUUGCAGUUAAAAAGCUC